rnacentral:rRNA from 1 species
CUUGUCUCAAAGCUUAAGCCAUGCAAGUGUAAGUUCACGCCACGCAUUAGAACGGGCGAAACCGCGAAUGGCUCAGGAACCGGACCUAAUCCUCGGGACCGUAAUCCUCCUCGGAGGCGAUGGAUAACUGUGGCAAUUCUAGAGCUAAUACAUGUGACACAGGCCGCGAUCGGUCGUCGCGCCGUGGUCGCCUCGCCUUCUUGCGCGCUGGCACCCGCGACGGCCGUCUUGGGUCGCGGCGCUACAUAUUAGACUGAGACCGAUGCGCGAUUUCCGUCCUCCCGUUUCGGGUUUCGGCUCGUUUCGGGACCAAAGGUCGGCGCGCUCCGCUUUGGUGACUCUGGAUAACUCACUGGUCGAUCGCACGGGCUUCCACGCCCGGCGACGGGUCCCUCGAGGGUCCGCCCUAUCAACUGUCGACGGUCGGUUAAGUGCCUACCGUGGUUACUACGGGUAACGGGGAAUCGGGGUUCGAUUCCGGAGAGGGAGCAUGCGAAACGGCUACCACAUCCAAGGAAGGCAGCAGGCGCGCAAAUUACCCACUCCCGGCACGGGGAGGUAGUGACGAAAAAUAACGACGCGGGACUCUGUCGAGGCCCCGCGAUCGGAAUGAGUACACUUCAAAUCCGUUAACGAGGACCAACCGGAGGGCAAGUCUGGUGCCAGCAGCCGCGGUAAUUCCAGCUCCGGUAGCGUAUAUUAAAGUUGUUGCGGUUAAAAAGCUCGUAGUCCGAAUUCGGGUUCGUGGUCGCUCACGCGGCCCCGGGGCGGCGGCGCCAUCGUCCAUCGUUGACUUUGGUCGUCCGUUCGCAUUCCCGGCCCUUUCCGCCGGUGUCAAUCGCUAUAUAGACGGCCGUUGGUCAGCUGGUGUUAGGCGCGUGGUGGCCGGGAGAAGGGUUCUGCGUGGUUGCGCUCGUCGCUCUGCGUGUUCCCGACUCUUUGGUUGCUGCCGGGCUCUCGGGCUCCCUUUCGCUACGCCCCUUCGUCGCCGUCGGUGAUUUCUCCUCCAAGGGUGCUCUUAACCGAGUGUCCGCGGCGGCCGGUACGUUCACUUUGAAAAAAUUAGAGUGCUCAGAGCGGGCUGUUCAAGCUUGCAUACGAUAAGCAUGGAAUGAUGGAAGAGGGCCUCGUCUACGUCUGUCGGUCUCCGUCUACGGCGAGGCAAUGAUCGAAGGGAGCGGUCGGGGCCACUCGUAUUGCGACGUUAGAGGUGAAAUUCUUGGAUCGUCGCAAGACGAACUGCAGCGAUGGCGUGUGGCAAGCACGUUUUCCUCGAUCAAGAGCGAAAGUCGGAGGUUCGAAGACGAUCAGAUACCGUCGUAGUUCCGACCGUAAACGAUGCCGACCGGCGAUCCGCCGGCGUUCGCUUCCAUGACCCGGCGGGUAGCCUGCGGGAAACCAGAGUUCGGUUCCGGGGGGAGUAUGGUUGCAAAGCUGAAACUUAAAGGAAUUGACGGAAGGGCACCACCAGGAGUGGAGCCUGCGGCUUAAUUUGACUCAACACGGGAAAACUCACCCGGUCCGGACACCGGUAGGAUUGACAGAUCGAUAGCUCUUUCUCGAUUCGGUGGGUGGUGGUGCAUGGCCGUUCUUAGUUGGUGGAGCGAUCCGUCUGGUUGAUUCCGAUAACGAACGAGACUCCGGCCUGCUAACUAGUGCGCCGAUGUGAGUGCGGCCCUUCGUUGGUCGUGUGCGGGCUCGUCGGCGGCGAUUUUUGAUCGUCGUCCGUUGCGUGUCCGGGUCGGUUUCUCACGCACUUCUUAGAGGGACGGGUGGCAGAAAGCCACACGAGGCGGAGCGAUAACAGGUCUGUGAUGCCCUUAGAUGUCCGGGGCCGCACGCGCGCUACACUGGAGGUAUCAGCGGGGACUUCGCCCCGGCCCGAGAGGGUCGGGAAACCUCUCAACCACCUCCCGUGAUAGGGAUCGGGGCCUGUAACCAACCCCGUGAACGAGGAAUUCCCGGUAGGCGCGGGUCAACAGCCCGCGUCGAUCACGUCCCUGCCCUUUGUACACACCGCCCGUCGCUACUACCGAUCGAACGGUCCGGUGAGGUCCUCGGAUCUGGCCGACGACGCCGCCGGGUGAAGGCUUUCGGGUCCCGCCUCGGCGUUCGAUGCCUGGAGAAGACGACCGAACCCGAUCGUUUAGAGGAAGUAAAAGUCGUAACAAUGUUUCC